UUCGUGCAUUUGUGAAGGCCCCUGUGGAGGGGAGUUGCAGCACCACGUGGAAUCGACGUGAUACCCUGUCAUGCUUAGCCAGCACCCCAGGGAGAAUUUCAGAUCUAACUGACCUUGGGGUGCCCACAGUCAGUAAUUCAGCUGCUGUGAUCACUUCAGUUCCCCCUGCCAUCCUUCCUGAGAGCCUCCUGCCUGCUCUGUGCACCAGCCUGGGUGUCCUGCCCUGCUCCUGCCCUCGCUGGAGCCCAGGUGCCAGCUCCUUCCCCUGCGUCCCCCCAGAAACUCACCGCUCAGACCAAGGCGGUAGCAUCACAAAUAAGUUUCUGAUGGGUGAGUAAUAGGGGCUAGGUGCUGGACAAGUGCUUUGCAGAUUUGCUCAGCUAUCUCCAUUUUGUAGAGGAGGAAGCUGAGUGGUUGAGCGAAUCCUUCAAGUCACAAAGCUGGUGGCCGCUGGACCAGAAUUCCAUCCAGAGGUGUCUCACACCAAAGCCCUGUGCCUCACUUGUGACCCACUGCUGCCCUCUGCUGGACCCAUGGCAGCACUGCCCCACUGUGCUGGGCACCAUGGGUUACCUACACCUCCCAGGAAGCCACCAACCACAGCUCUCCUGAGACGGCACCUGGCAACUGAUGGGGUCCGUAGGAGACCACAAAUGUACGAUCCCCAGGGCUCCCUCCCGGGCUCCUCUCCAUGACGAUCAUCAGAACCACUAGGCAGGGACUUGGUUGCCGCAUCCCCCGUGUCCAUCGAGCCAAGCACAGAACGGACACUCCAGGAGCAUGUGCUGAAUGCAUGGAGAUCAUCCAGACCAGAGCACAGGGGCUCUGGGGCGGAAGAACGCAGAAGCAAUGACUGCAGGGGUGCCCACAGGAGGUGGGCUCUGAUGCCACCUACUGGGGCCUCUGCAGAGUGAGCACAUGGACCUCACAGGCUGGGACGACAAGAGCCUUCAGCACAAGGACAGGAGACAGGGGCACCCACCAUUUCUCCAGCACCACACGAGCCUGUAACUCCCAGUACAACAACAGGGGGGCAGGCAGCCAGGGAAAACCACCAACGCUGGGUUUCUCAUUAACCUUGGAAACCAAUGGCUUGGAGUGAGAUUUUGUUGGAUUAAGAGAAAUAUAUGCAGAGUUUUUUGCA